AUACAUGUUUCUAACNAUAUGGAGGCCAAGUGCUCCGCCAUUAUUGAUUAUUGAUUGAUCAAUUGAGUACAGAUUAUUACUCAGCUAGGGUUUUAAGGGUCGAUCGAUGAAAUUGAGAGAAGGCAGACAAUUGAAAUGCCUCAAACUUUGAAGGGUAAUUGGGUAAAUGGGAAAGAAGAUUCUAGAUUACGGUGCUUGUAACUUUUUGUAAAUUUCACAAGGGUCC
rnacentral:lncRNA from 1 species